rnacentral:rRNA from 1 species
CCUACGGGCGGCUGCAGUGGGGAAUCUUGCGCAAUGGGCGAAAGCCUGACGCAGCGACGCCGCGUGUGGGAUGACGGCCUUCGGGUUGUAAACCACUGUCGGGAGGGACGAAGAUCUGACGGUACCUCCAAAGGAAGCACCGGCUAACUCUGUGCCAGCAGCCGCGGUAAUACAGAGGGUGCGAGCGUUGUCCGGAAUCACUGGGCGUAAAGGGCGCGUAGGCGGCUGGGUAAGUAGGGGGUGAAAUCUCGCAGCUCAACGGGGAGGCUGCCUUCUAGACUGCCUGGCUCGAGCGCGGUAGAGGCUGGUGGAAUUCCCGGUGUAGCGGUGGAAUGCGUAGAGAUCGGGAGGAACAUCGGUGGCGAAGGCGGCCAGCUGGGCCGUUGCUGACGCUGAUGCGCGAAAGCGUGGGGAGCAAACAGGAUUAGAUACCCGAGUAGUC